AUACGGAAGGUCCAGGCGUUAUCCGGAUUUAUUGGGUUUAAAGGGAGCGUAGGCCGUCUGUUAAGCGUGUUGUGAAAUGUAGAUGCUCAACAUCUGAAAUUGCAGCGCGAACUGGCAGACUUGAGUGUGCGCAACGUAGGCGGAAUUCGUGGUGUAGCGGUGAAAUGCUUAGAUAUCACGAAGAGCUCCGAUUGCGAAGGCAGCUUACGGGAGCACAACUGACGCUGAAGCUCGAAAGUGCGGGUAUC
rnacentral:rRNA from 1 species